GUGCAAACUCGAUCACUAGCUCUGCAUGUUGUGGCAGGAGCUAAGGGAACCAGGUUUGCUAAAGUAAUUGUGGUGAUAGGACUGUAUUAGCCUCAGAAGCUACUGAGGUGGCCCGUUCUGUCCUCAUACAGCA
rnacentral:snoRNA from 1 species